AUCUGUUAUCUUUUAAAUACACUUUAUUUCACGUUUCUUGAGUUCACUCAGCUGUAGAAAUGAGUUUGCGACGUCACAGAUACCAAUCUGUAUCGGCCUCUUUGCCUUUCCUUUGGGUAACAUCGGUGA